CAAAUGGCAGUUUGAAGGUUCACACUGGGUACUAGGGAAAUAUUCUUCACUGAGAAGAUAGUGGAAAUCCUCUUUAUGUCCAUUGCUCCUUGUCUUUCCUUUGAACUCCACUGAGAAGAGUGUGGCUCCAUAUUCUUUACUGUCUUCCUCCCUCAGGUAUUCAUAUUUAAUGUUAAGAGCUUCCAUGAGCCUUCUGAUCCCCAGGCUGAAUAGUUCCAGCCUCUCACUGUGGGAGAAGUGCUUCAGUCCUUUAAUCCUUUUCAUGAUGACCUGCACAGAAGUAAUUUCAGCACAUCUGUGUCUUGCUUGUACUGAAGAAUCCAGAACUGAACGCAGCAACACAGAUGAGUCUCAGAGGGGCUGAGGGAAGGGGAAGAAGGACAUGUCUUGAGCAGCUGGCAGUGCUCUUCCUGUUGCAGCUUAGGACUUGAUCUCGUAUUGACAGGGUUCUUGCUUUGAGUGGGACAAUUUUUGCCCAGAAAAUAUGUGAGACGACACCAAGAGGACUCUUGCUCAGAAUCCCCAAACUCAGCAGUCUGAACAGGAAGUGAAAAGGAACAUAAAAAUAUCAGUGGUACAAAGACUCAUGUAUGAAUUUGGGAAAUUAUGAAAGAAUAUGAAGACUCAUUUUGAAAUGCUGUAAAAUCUAACCUGAUUUUGAAAAUUACAGCCUAAAAAACUGUAGUGUUGACUCCUAAACAGAAGUUGGGAAUGGAAGUGGCAAGUGCCCUGUGUUCAUGUUGAGAGUAGGAGUUGCAGAUGCAGCUGGCAGAGAAUGCUUGUCCCUUGUGGACUAAGGCCAUUCGAGAACAGAGACAUCAGACAAAAAUUUGUUUACUGUCAUUUAAUAAACUUCUUUAUCCAAGGGAGUACGUCAGAAAGAUCAGAUAAGCAUACAACUGCUGUAUUCCCUACUGAAUGAGUAUGUAGUAAAGGACCAGCUGUUCUUAGUGAGUAACAUUGUUAAAGUCAAACAAAUUUUUUACUUGGCCUGGAUUUAUCGCACAAAUCCUUAUUCAAAGAAGUGGCACUCAAGCUACUUGAAAUAGUUGAAUUCCUCUGGAGGAUUUAAGUCAUUGGUGCCAAGUAACAGAAAGCUGAGGAAAAUAACUACAGUGAAAAAACAAAGAGGCUCAAGAUUGCUUGAGAGGGCUGUUCAAUCUCAUCCAACAUGGAUUAACAACUACGACAACAAAGCCACAACGACUCUGAAGCAUGUCAAGGCUGCCAAAUGUAAGGAAUACAAGAAAAGGAAUAGACUCACAGGGAAAGGGUUGCUGAACAAAGACAGAAUAUUUGUCAUGCAGGUUUUUUUUUUUUUUCAGGAAAUCUUUUUGCCUAAAUCUGAUUAUGUAAUAGCAAACAGCAGUGAUAUAUUUUCUGCUGUGGUAUAUACAGGUAUUCAUUACCUCUAUUGUUAAAAAGAUAAGGUUUUGCAGUAUUUAUACAAGGAAUUAGAAUUAAAUUUUCCAUUGAAAUUAAAAUGCUUUGGAACAUAUCUUGUGAAAAGUG